UUCUCUACCAGAUAAGAGACAGCCAGUGGGUGACCCACAGUGUCCCACCCCACAGAGCUGUUGUGACGACUCAUGAGUUCAUACAUGUAAAGCUCUUAGAACUCCAGGCUCACUCAAUGCAUGUUCACCGUUGUUACUGUCAUUAAUUUCAUUAUUUCAAUUAGGUGUCCCUGAGAAUCAUUCCCCUGAGACAGGCCCAGGCAGGGAGAAGCAGCAGAGCCCUGUAAGGUGAGGAGAAAUGCCAGUGGGGUGCCACCAACAGGUCACAGAGGAUGCCUGGGCAGGCACUAGCCGGGACAGGGGGUCUAGGACUGGCCUCAUGUGCUCCCAGCCUCUCUGUUGGGGCCCAUGACAGACUUAUAGGAGGCGUUUGGACAAGAAGGCACCCAAAGCUUCCAAGUGCAGAAAACCCAGUCUCUCAGAAUUCAGAUCUGACUAUUUUGGAAUUCACACCCAGUCACGUUGGCAUAUAGUCUCCUGCUCCUGGAAUGACCAAGCUUGGGAGCUGGAAGCACCAUAGAAAACUCUGAAAGCAUCCUUGGAGGCCACACGUUGAGGGUGGCAGUGUCCUGAGAUGGAAGGAACCCAGAUCUCUGAACGACUGUGCAGAGUCAAGCCCCACCUCCCACCUCUGCCAAUCACACCGCCUAUGACGUGUGCAAGCAAUCGAGACUGGUGUGCUGAGUCUCUGCAACUUUCAGGUUUUUUUUUUCAGUUGGUUGGUUUUUGCUUUUUGUUACUGCAGCAAGAAGUCUAGGCUACCUUGACUAAUGCAGUGAAAGAGAAGGAGGUACCAAGGAUGCUACCUGGAUUUCUGGCUUGAGGGUCUGCGUGGCUAGAGAGGUUUGCCAUUCCCCACAGGGGAGAGAACCGAGUGAGAAGCAAACGGUGGAGGGUAUUGGGCUGCAGCUCAGGAGUCCCGUUUGGAGCGCGUUCAGUUUGAGGUGGUGCCAAGAGCCAAGUGGAGGUAGAUUUCAAAUAGGCGGUUAGAUAAAAGUCCAGAGUGCAGAGGGGAAGUCGGAACUGGAAGCAGGGAACAGGGACCGGUUGGCACAGGGGUGCGUGGUAGGGCCACGGACCUGGAUGACAGGUCCCGUGAGGCGGUGUGCAUUAGAGAAGAAAAGGGAAGACAAUAGGGCCUGGCCUCAACAGAAGAAGGCAUGCCAGCAUUCAGAGGAGGGGCUGGCAAAGAAGACGGAGGAGGGGUGGCCAGAAACAUAGGGAAAACCAGACGUUAGUGACAUAGCAGCCAGGAAAGCAGGCUCCAAGGAGGACACGGUCAAGUACAUCAUACACUGCUUCCCUCCCCUCCUCCCCCCUGCAGAAGAGGUCAAAACUCAGAAUGGCUCCUAUCCCCUGCGAGAGUUCUUUGCUUUGACGCCCCCAAGCCUCCCGCUUCACCUUUCCUCUGGUUCCCCAAUUCUACAAAGUCCACCUGUGCCCUCCUGGCUCAGUCUGCCUGCCCCCACCCCCCGCCCCAACUCAAAGUCUCUAUGGCACCACAUCAGAGGAAUUCAGACACCUCAAGUUUCCUGCUCCAGGGGACAGCCCUGUGCACUCUUGAGGAGCUGCUCCCACUAAGACACUGCACAAAGCAGCCAAUGAGAGGAAGUGCCUUGCAACAGCAGGAGGGGAAAAGACCACUUGGGCACACUGAACAGAGAGAGAACACAGGGCCAUUAGCCUCAACUGGAACAAAAUAAGGAGCUAAUCGCAGGUUGUCAUGGUGAUGAUUUCGUCCAGUUCCCCACAGUGCUCAAAACCCAUGAGACCAGGGGCACCAAAGGGACUCAGACAAAGACGCCGUCCUCCCUUUGAGGAUGCUUGGGUAUUGUUAGAACAAGCCCCUCAUUUUAGCACACAAUUCAAGGGUAAAAAAUGAUUCAAUUUACUGCAAUUUACUUUACAGCCAAUAUUUCUGAUCCAUAAAAUGGGGACCAGCUGUGAUCUCAGUGCAAGGGGCAUCAUCGGGGGUUGGGGACUGAAGAUGCAGCCCUCCCCUCUGGAAGUCAGUGGUUCUCGAAGUGGGGACCCCAGACCAGGAACACCAUAGAGAACUUGCCAGAAAUACAGAUGUUCAGGCCCCACCCAGCCCCACUGAGUCAGAAAUUCUGGGGCUGGGUCCAGUAAUUCUGUGUUUUAACAGCCUUCCAGGAAGUUCUGAUGCAGGCUCAAGUGUGAGAACUACAAGACUAAAGAAAAACCAGUUUGGACAGAAACGGAAGCCUUUGUCAGACAGGGGCAGUAAUUUCCUCCGGGUGAGGGUCCCUGUAGACCCCACUUCUCAUGCUGGGGGCCCGUUCAGUCUCAGAGCGGCAGGGAGGUGCAGUCGAGAAGCUGAUCUUGCUCCUGGGGUGAGGAGCCUAGGCCCAGCCCUGAAGUGGCCCCCCUUCCUCCGGGCCUCUCCUCUUCUGGUGAGAGUGGAGGUGGGGGCUGGGACGCAACACUUUGCACCCAGGACAGGCCUCAGGGACUGGAUCAGAAUAGCAACAAGCAGGCUUUCUCAUCUUCCCUCCAAGCCUCUUCCCUCCUGCCCCAGCCAUGGCCACCGUAGGCUUCUUCCAUCUUUUCCAGAGUAGGGGGGACCCCCAAGGAGGACCACACCCAAAAAGCCCACGGAAAUGCAGAGAGGGCCUCCAGGCUGUGGAAGCCCACAGCCCUGCAAAGGGGAAGUGCUGGCUGGACUCACCCUGCACGGGCAGGCCACUUGGGCUGAGCAAGGAGAACAAAGCCACCAAGCCAGCAGGCUAUGCCUGUGACCUGUGUGGGUCCCGGGGACUCUCAAGAGUGGAGGGAGACACCGUUCCCACGCACAGGAGUCCUUUCUCCUUCUCUCUGGGCACAAGAGCACUGCGGCACAAAGGGCACCCCCCGGCUAGAAGGGCAGACCUGGGUCCUGUCCCAGAGCUGGCUCCAGCCUUCUGUGUGACUCAGCCAGUGACUGCCACCUCCAGCCUCGACCUCUCCCUGGGUCACGUGACAGAGCUGGACUCAGUGCUGUCUCAAGCCCCAUUGAGCUUUCAGGGCUUAGGAUGAGGUACAAAACCAUUAAAUAUAGCUCCUCAA